CGUGCGAAGGUAGCGCAAUCACUUGUUCUUUAAAUGAGGACUAGUAUGAAUGGCAUCACGAGGGUUACACUGUCUCCCCCUUCUAAUCAGUGAAACUGAUCUCCCCGUGAAGAAGCGGGGAUAUAAAUAUAAGACGAGAAGACCCCAUGGAGCUUUAAACUUACCAUCAAUUACUCACCCCACACCACACCAAAUAGGUAAUCAUGAUGCUCAGUUUUCGGUUGGGGUGACCGCGGAGCAAAACUAAACCUCCACGAUGACUUCUAAUCAAAGAGCCACAACUCAAAGAAUCAACAAAUUGACAUACUUUGACCCAAAGAAAUUUGAUCAACGAACCAAGUUACCCUGGGGAUAACAGCGCAAUCCAUUUCAAGAGCCCCUAUCGACAAAUGGGUUUACGACC
rnacentral:rRNA from 1 species